ACGGAGGAUCCGAGCGUUAUCCGGAUUUAUUGGGUUUAAAGGGUGCGUAGGCGGAAGAAUAAGUCAGUGGUGAAAGUUUGCAGCUCAACUGUAAAAUUGCCGUUGAAACUGUUUUUCUUGAGUGUAAAUGAGGUAGGCGGAAUGUGUUGUGUAGCGGUGAAAUGCUUAGAUAUGACACAGAACACCGAUUGCGAAGGCAGCUUACUAAGAUACAACUGACGCUGAGGCACGAAAGCGUGGGGAUCGAACAG
rnacentral:rRNA from 1 species